AUUAUUCAGCAUGCACAUUUCUGGAGGAGUCCAUAUUAACAUCAAGACCCAACCCCACACAACUGCCUGCAGGCUCCAGCACAAGAAAACUCACACCAAACAACCAGCAAGACAGGAACACAGCCCUAGCCAUCAGCAGACAGGCUGCCUAAAGUCGUACUGAGCUCACAGACACUCCAAAACACAUCACCUGACACGGCCCUGCCCUUCAGAGGGAAAAGACUCAGCUCCACCCACCAGAGUGCAGGUACCAGUCCCUCACACCAGGAAGCCUACACAAGCCCCUGGAGCAACCUCACUCACCAGAGGGCAGACAACAGAAGCAAGAGGAACUAUGACCUUACAGCCUGCAGAAGGAGACCAUAAACACAGUAGGUUAGACAAAAUGGAACAACAGAGAAAUAUGUUGCAGACAAAGGAGCAAGGUAAAUCCCACAAGGCCAAAUAAACAAAAAGGAAAUGGGCAAUCUACCUGAAAAAGACUUCAGAGUAAUGACAGUAAAGACGUUCCAAGAUCUCAGAAAUAGAAUGGAAGCAUAGAUCGAGAAGACAGAAGAAAUGUUUAACAAGGACCUAGAAGAACUAAAGAACAAACAAUGAGUGAUGAACAGCACAGUAACUGAAAUGAAAAAUACACUAGAAGGAAUCAACAGCAGAAUAACUGAGGCAGAAGAACCACUAAGUAAGCUGGAAAAUAGAAUGGUGGAAAUAACUGUUGAGGAGCAGAAUAAAGAAAAAAGAAUGAAAGGUAAUGAGUACAGUCUAAGAGACCUGUGGGACAACAUUAAACAACAAACGUUCGCAUUAUAGGGGCAUCAGAGGGAGAAGAGAAAGAACCUGAGAAAGUACUUGAAGAGAUAAUAGCUGAAAACUUCCCUAACAUGGGAAAGGAAACAGUCACCCAAGUCCAGGAAAGGCAGAGAGUCCCAGGCAAGAUAAACCUAAGGAGGAACACACCGAGACACAUGGUAAUCAAAUUGACAAAAAUUAAAGAUAAAGAAAAAUAUCUUGAAAGCAACAAGGGAAUAGCAACAAACAAUGUACAAAAGAACUCUAAUACUGUCGUCAGGUGAUUUCUCAGCAGAAACUCUGCAGGCCAGAAGGGAGUGACAUGAUAUAUUCAAAUUGACGAAAGGGAAAAACCUAAAACCAAGAAUACUUUACCCAGUAACACUCUCAUUCAGGUUUGAAGGAGAAACCAAAAGCUUUACAGACAAGCAAAAGCUAAGACAAUUGAUCACCACCAAUCCAGCUUUACAACAAAUGCUAAAGGAACUUCUCUAGGCAGGAAACACAAGAGAAGGAAAAGACUUACAAGAAAAAACCCAUGACAAUUAAGAAAAUGGUAAUAGGGACAUACAUAUUGAUAAUUACCUUAAAUGUAAAUGGAUUAAAUACUCCAACCAAAAGACAGACUAGCUGAAUGGAUCCAAAAACAAUACCCAUAUAUAUGCUGUCUAAAAGAGACCCACUUCAUACCUAGGGACACACACAGACUGAAAGUGAGGGGAUGGAAAAAGAUACUCCAAGCAAAUUAGAAUAGCAAUACUCAUAUCAGACAAAAUAAACUUU
rnacentral:lncRNA from 1 species